GUUGAUGUUAACAGUGAGGCUCGACGUGUAAAUGCUUCAGAUGACGAAUUCAGCAAAUCAGUUGUAAAUGUCUCUCCAACAGAUCUGAAGCUCAGCUGCCUUGUGACUAAUGCCUCAGUAGUUGGAGUUGUAGCAGCAGCACUGGAGGCUGUGGUUGCAGCACUGGAGGCUGUGGUUGCAGCACUGGAGGCUGUGGUUGCAGCACUGGAGGCUGUGGUUGCAGCACUGGAGGCUGUGGUUGCAGCAUUGAAGGCUGUGGUUGCAGCACUGGAGGCUGUGGUUGCAGCACUGGAGGCUGUGGUUGCAGCACUGGAGGCUGUGGUUGCAGCACUGGUGGCUGUGGUUGCAGCACUGGAGGCUGUGGUUGCAGCACUGGAGGCUGUGGUUGCAGCAUUGAAGGCUGUGGUUGCAGCAUUGGAGGCUGUGGUUGCAGCACUGGUGGCUGUGGUUGCAGCACUGGAGGCUGUGGUUGCAGCACUGGAGGCUGUGGUUGCAGCACUGGUGGCUGUGGUUGCAGCACUGGAGGCUAUGGUUGCAGCACUGGUGGCUGUGGUCGUAGUAUUUACAGCGGGGGAUGUAGUAGUUAAAUUUGCUAUAUUUGAUU
ensembl:lncRNA